CCUACGGGAGGCAGCAGUAGGGAAUUUUCGUCAAUGGGCGCAAGCCUGAACGAGCGAUGCCGCGUGAGUGAAGAAGGCCUUCGGGUCGUAAAGCUCUGUUGCGGGGGAAAAAAGGCAGCAUCAGGAAAUGGGUGCUGACUGAUGGUGCCCCGCCAGAAAGUCACGGCUAACUACGUGCCAGCAGCCGCGGUAAUACGUAGGAGGCGAGCGUUAUCCGGAAUGGUUGGGCGUAAAGGGUGCGCAGGCGGUCCUGCAAGUCUGGAGUGAAACGCAUGAGCUCAACUCAUGCAUGGCUUUGGAAACUGGGGGACUGGAGAGCAGGAGAGGGCGGUGGAACUCCAUGUGUAGCGGUAAAAUGCGUAGAUAUAUGGAAGAACACCAGUGGCGAAGGCGGCCGCCUGGCCUGUUGCUGACGCUGAGGCACGAAGGCGUGGGGAGCAAAUAGGAUUAGAUACCCUUGUAGUC
rnacentral:rRNA from 1 species